rnacentral:lncRNA from 1 species
UUUACGGAUGGUAGAUAAAAUUCAUCUUCAGCUAUGUGACCAAAAUUUUAAAGAAUGUUUACUAAAAAAUGGCUGUUGAAUACUAUUUUUUUAUCGUUAAUGAUGGAUCGAGGCAUGCCACGAAGCUUCGCCACUCAUUUAAGUAAUUUUUCAGCCACUCAUUUUCCCAUAUAUGGAUGGGAAAAUGCCACAAAGUGUGCAGAUUUUCUCAACUUUUCAACCAUGACCAAA